rnacentral:misc_RNA from 1 species
UACGUAGGUGGCAAGCGUUGUCCGGAAUUAUUGGGCGUAAAGCGCGCGCAGGCGGUUCAUUAAGUCUGGUGUUUAAUCCCGGGGCUCAACCCCGGUUCGCAUCGGAAACUGAUGAACUUGAGUGCAGGAGAGGAAAGCGGAAUUCCACGUGUAGCGGUGAAAUGCGUAGAGAUGUGGAGGAACACCAGUGGCGAAGGCGGCUUUCUGGACUGUAACUGACGCUGAGGCGCGAAAGCGUGGGGAGCAAACAGG